UCCCAUAUGGCCUAGUGGUUAGGAUUCGGCGCUUUUACCGCCGCGGCCCGGGUUCGAUUCCCAGUGUGGGAA